rnacentral:rRNA from 1 species
GAUGAACGCUGGCGGCGUGCCUAAUACAUGCAAGUCGAGCGAACGGACGAGAAGCUUGCUUCUCUGAUGUUAGCGGCGGACGGGUGAGUAACACGUGGAUAACCUACCUAUAAGACUGGGAUAACUUCGGGAAACCGGAGCUAAUACCGGAUAAUAUUUUGAACCGCAUGGUUCAAAAGUAAAAGACGGUCUUGCUGUCACUUAUAGAUGUAUCCGCGCUGCAUUAGCUAGUUGGUAAGGUAACGGCUUACCAAGGCAACGAUGCAUAGCCGACCUGAGAGGGUGAUCGGCCACACUGGAACUGAGACACGGUCCAGACUCCUACGGGAGGCAGCAGUAGGGAAUCUUCCGCAAUGGGCGAAAGCCUGACGGAGCAACGCCGCGUGAGUGAUGAAGGUCUUCGGAUCGUAAAACUCUGUUAUUAGGGAAGAACAUAUGUGUAAGUAACUGUGCACAUCUUGACGGUACCUAAUCAGAAAGCCACGGCUAACUACGUG